AUUGAACGCUGGCGGCAUGCCUUACACAUGCAAGUCGAACGGUAACGGGUCCUUCGGGAUGCCGACGAGUGGCGAACGGGUGAGUAAUAUAUCGGAACGUGCCCAGUAGUGGGGGAUAACUGCUCGAAAGAGCAGCUAAUACCGCAUACGACCUGAGGGUGAAAGGGGGGGAUCGCAAGACCUCUCGCUAUUGGAGCGGCCGAUAUCAGAUUAGCUAGUUGGUGGGGUAAAGGCCUACCAAGGCAACGAUCUGUAGUUGGUCUGAGAGGACGACCAGCCACACUGGGACUGGGACACGGCCCAGACUCCUACGGGAGGCAGUAGUGGGGAAUUUUGGACAAUGGGCGCAAGCCUGAUCCAGCAAUGCCGCGUGCAGGAAGAAGGCCUUCGGGUUGUAAACUGCUUUUGUCAGGGAAGAAAUCUUCUGGGCUAAUACCCCGGGAGGAUGACGGUACCUGAAGAAUAAGCACCGGCUAACUACGUGCCAGCAGCCGCGGUAAUACGUAGGGUGCGAGCGUUAAUCGGAAUUACUGGGCGUAAAGCGUGCGCAGGCGGCUUUGCAAGACAGAUGUGAAAUCCCCGGGCUCAACCUGGGAACUGCAUUUGUGACUGCAAGGCUAGAGUACGGCAGAGGGGGAUGGAAUUCCGCGUGUAGCAGUGAAAUGCGUAGAUAUGCGGAGGAACACCAAUGGCGAAGGCAAUCCCCUGGGCCUGUACUGACGCUCAUGCACGAAAGCGUGGGGAGCAAACAGGACUAGAUACCCUGGUAGUCCACGCCCUAAACGAUGUCAACUGGUUGUUGGACGGCUUGCUGUUCAGUAACGAAGCUAACGCGUGAAGUUGACCGCCUGGGGAGUACGGCCGCAAGGUUGAAACUCAAAGGAAUUGACGGGGACCCGCACAAGCGGUGGAUGAUGUGGUUUAAUUCGAUGCAACGCGAAAAACCUUACCUACCCUUGACAUGUCAAGAAUUCUGCAGAGAUGUGGAAGUGCUCGAAAGAGAACUUGAACACAGGUGCUGCAUGGCCGUCGUCAGCUCGUGUCGUGAGAUGUUGGGUUAAGUCCCGCAACGAGCGCAACCCUUGUCAUUAGUUGCUACGCAAGAGCACUCUAAUGAGACUGCCGGUGACAAACCGGAGGAAGGUGGGGAUGACGUCAGGUCCUCAUGGCCCUUAUGGGUAGGGCUACACACGUCAUACAAUGGCCGGUACAGAGGGCUGCCAACCCGCGAGGGGGAGCCAAUCCCAGAAAACCGGUCGUAGUCCGGAUCGUAGUCUGCAACUCGACUGCGUGAAGUCGGAAUCGCUAGUAAUCGCGGAUCAGCUUGCCGCGGUGAAUACGUUCCCGGGUCU
rnacentral:rRNA from 1 species